UUGUGGUUAAAAAGCUCGUAGUUGGAUCUCGGCGGACUGAGGGCGGUUUGCUUGCUAGUAUUACUGCCCUAUAGUCCGUAGUUUUGCCAGAGGUUUCGGGGUGCUCUUAAUCGAGUGUCCCGGGAUGCUGGCAGGUUUACUUUGAAAAAAUUAGAGUGCUCAAAGCAGGCUAUUACGCCUGAAUAUUCGUGCAUGGAAUAAUAGAAUAGGAAGUCGUUUCUAUUUUGUUGGUUUUCGGAAAUCGACUUAAUGAUUAAUAGGGACAGUCGGGGGCAUUUGUAUUCAAACGACAGAGGUGAAAUUCUUGGACCGUUUGAAGACAAACUACUGCGAAAGCAUUUGCCAAGAAUGUUUUCAUUAAUCAAGAACGAAAGUUAAAGG
rnacentral:rRNA from 1 species